UUUGAAAUCUGGCGUCUUCGACGUCCGAGUUGUAAUUUGAAGAAGGCGACUUUGUAGCUGGUCCUUGUCUAUGUUCCUUGGAACAGGACGUCAUAGAGGGUGAGAAUCCCGUGUGGCGAGGAUCCCAGUUAUUUGUAAAGUGCUUUCGACGAGUCGAGUUGUUUGGGAAUGCAGCUCUAAGUGGGUGGUAAAUUCCAUCUAAAGCUAAAUAUUGGCGAGAGACCGAUAGCGAACAAGUACAGUGAUGGAAAGAUGAAAAGAACUUUGAAAAGAGAGUGAAAAAGUACGUGAAAUUGUUGAAAGGGAAGGGCAUUUGAUCAGACAUGGCGUUUGCUUCGGCUUUCGCUGGGCCAGCAUCAGUUUUAGCGGUUGGAUAAAUCCUCGGGAAUGUGGCUCUGCUUCGGUAGAGUGUUAUAGCCCGUGGGAAUACAGCCAGCUGGGACUGAGGAUUGCGACUUUUGUCAAGGAUGCUGGCGUAAUGGUUAAAUGCCGCCCGUCUUGAA
rnacentral:rRNA from 1 species